AACGAACGCUGGCGGCAGGCUUAACACAUGCAAGUCGAGCGCCCCGCAAGGGGAGCGGCAGACGGGGGAGUAACGCGUGGGAAUCUACCCAUCUCUACGGAAUAACGCAUGGAAACGUGUGCUAAUACCGUAUACGUCCUUCGGGAGAAAGAUUUAUCGGAGAUGGAUGAGCCCGCGUUGGAUUAGCUAGUUGGUGGGGUAAAGGCCUACCAAGGCGACGAUCCAUAGCUGGUCUGAGAGGAUGAUCAGCCACACUGGGACUGAGACACGGCCCAGACUCCUACGGGAGGCAGCAGUGGGGAAUAUUGGACAACGGGCGCAAGCCUGAUCCAGCCAUGCCGCGUGAGUGAUGAAGGCCCUAGGGUUGUAAAGCUCUUUCACCGGUGAAGAUAAUGACGGUAACCGGAGAAGAAGCCCCGGCUAACUUCGUGCCAGCAGCCGCCGUAAGAC
rnacentral:rRNA from 1 species